rnacentral:rRNA from 1 species
UACGUAGGGGGCAAGCGUUGUCCGGAAUCAUUGGGCGUAAAGAGCGUGUAGGCGGCUCGGUACGUCCGUUCUGAAAGUCCAGGGCUCAACCCUGGGAUGCGGAUGGAUACUGCCGGGCUCGAGUCCGGAAGAGGCGAGUGGAAUUCCCGGUGUAGCGGUGAAAUGCGCAGAUAUCGGGAGGAACACCAAUGGCGAAGGCAGCUCGCUGGGACGUGACUGACGCUGAGACGCGAAAGCGUGGGGAGCAAACAGG